rnacentral:tRNA from 2 species
GCCCGGGUAGCUCAGCCUGGAUAGAGCGCCGGACUGUGGAUCCGGAGGUCCCGGGUUCAAAUCCCGGCCCGGGCCCCA